rnacentral:rRNA from 1 species
GGUUAAGCGACUAAGCGUACACGGUGGAUGCCCUGGCAGUCAGAGGCGAUGAAGGACGUGCUAAUCUGCGAAAAGCGUCGGUAAGGUGAUAUGAACCGUUAUAGCCGGCGAUGUCCGAAUGGGGAAACCCAGUGCAAUUCGUUGCACUAUCGUUUGAUGAAUACAUAGUCAAACGAGGCGAACCGGGGGAACUGAAACAUCUAAGUACCCCGAGGAAAAGAAAUCAACCGAGAUUCCCCCAGUAGCGGCGAGCGAACGGGGAGCAGCCCGGAGUCUGAAUCAGCUUGUGUGUUAGUGGAAGCGUCUGGAAAGUCGCAGGGUACAGGGUGAUACUCCCGUACACUAAAACGCACAGGUUGUGAACUCGAAGAGUAGGGCGGGACACGUGGUAUCCUGUCUGAAUAUGGGGGGACCAUCCUCCAAGGCUAAAUACUCCUGACUGACCGAUAGUGAACCAGUACCGUGAGGGAAAGGCGAAAAGAACCCCGGCGAGGGGAGUGAAAAAGAACCUGAAACCGUGUACGUACAAGCAGUAGGAGCCCACUAGUUGGGUGACUGCGUACCUUUUGUAUAAUGGGUCAGCGACUUAUAUUCUGUAGCAAGGUUAACCGUAUAGGGGAGCCGCAGGGAAACCGAGUCUUAACUGGGCGUUAAGUUGCAGGGUAUAGACCCGAAACCCGGUGAUCUAGCCAUGGGCAGGUUGAAGGUUGGGUAACACUAACUGGAGGACCGAACCGACUAAUGUUGAAAAAUUAGCGGAUGACUUGUGGCUGGGGGUGAAAGGCCAAUCAAACCGGGAGAUAGCUGGUUCUCCCCGAAAGCUAUUUAGGUAGCGCCUCGUGAAUUCAUCUUCGGGGGUAGAGCACUGUUUCGGCUAGGGGGUCAUCCCGACUUACCAACCCGAUGCAAACUACGAAUACCGAAGAAUGUUAUCACGGGAGACACACGGCGGGUGCUAACGUCCGUCGUGAAGAGGGAAACAACCCAGACCGCCAGCUAAGGUCCCAAAGUCAUGGUUAAGUGGGAAACGAUGUGGGAAGGCCCAGACAGCCAGGAUGUUGGCUUAGAAGCAGCCAUCAUUUAAAGAAAGCGUAAUAGCUCACUGGUCGAGUCGGCCUGCGCGGAAGAUGUAACGGGGCUAAACCAUGCACCGAAGCUGCGGCAGCGACACUAUGUGUUGUUGGGUAGGGGAGCGUUCUGUAAGCCGUUGAAGGUGGCCUGUGAGGGUUGCUGGAGGUAUCAGAAGUGCGAAUGCUGACAUAAGUAACGAUAAUGCGGGUGAAAAACCCGCACGCCGGAAGACCAAGGGUUCCUGUCCAACGUUAAUCGGGGCAGGGUGAGUCGACCCCUAAGGCGAGGCCGAAAGGCGUAGUCGAUGGGAAACAGGUUAAUAUUCCUGUACUCGGUGUUACUGCGAAGGGGGGACGGAGAAGGCUAUGUUGGCCGGGCGACGGUUGUCCCGGUUUAAGCAUGUAGGCGGAUGUUCCAGGUAAAUCCGGAACGUUACUAACGCUGAGGUGUGAUGACGAGGCACUACGGUGCUGAAGUGACAAAUGCCCUGCUUCCAGGAAAAGCCUCUAAGCAUCAGGUAACAUCAAAUCGUACCCCAAACCGACACAGGUGGUCAGGUAGAGAAUACCAAGGCGCUUGAGAGAACUCGGGUGAAGGAACUAGGCAAAAUGGUGCCGUAACUUCGGGAGAAGGCACGCUGAUGGUAGGUGAAGUGACUUGCUCAUGGAGCUGAAAUCAGUCGAAGAUACCAGCUGGCUGCAACUGUUUAUUAAAAACACAGCACUGUGCAAACACGAAAGUGGACGUAUACGGUGUGACGCCUGCCCGGUGCCGGAAGGUUAAUUGAUGGGGUUAUCCGUAAGGAGAAGCUCUUGAUCGAAGCCCCGGUAAACGGCGGCCGUAACUAUAACGGUCCUAAGGUAGCGAAAUUCCUUGUCGGGUAAGUUCCGACCUGCACGAAUGGCGUAAUGAUGGCCAGGCUGUCUCCACCCGAGACUCAGUGAAAUUGAACUCGCUGUGAAGAUGCAGUGUACCCGCGGCAAGACGGAAAGACCCCGUGAACCUUUACUAUAGCUUGACACUGAACACUGGUCCUUGAUGUGUAGGAUAGGUGGGAGGCUUUGAAGUGUGGACGCCAGUCUGCAUGGAGCCAUCCUUGAAAUACCACCCUUUAAUGGCUGGUGUUCUAACGUGGGCCCCUAAUCGGGGUUGCGGACAGUGUCUGGUGGGUAGUUUGACUGGGGCGGUCUCCUCCUAAAGAGUAACGGAGGAGCACGAAGGUCAGCUAAUCCUGGUCGGACAUCAGGAGGUUAGUGCAAUGGCAUAAGCUGGCUUGACUGCGAGCGUGACGGCGCGAGCAGGUGCGAAAGCAGGUCAUAGUGAUCCGGUGGUUCUGAAUGGAAGGGCCAUCGCUCAACGGAUAAAAGGUACUCCGGGGAUAACAGGCUGAUACCGCCCAAGAGUUCAUAUCGACGGCGGUGUUUGGCACCUCGAUGUCGGCUCAUCACAUCCUGGGGCUGAAGUAGGUCCCAAGGGUAUGGCUGUUCGCCAUUUAAAGUGGUACGCGAGCUGGGUUUAGAACGUCGUGAGACAGUUCGGUCCCUAUCUGCCGUGGGCGCUGGAGAAUUGAGGGGGGCUGCUCCUAGUACGAGAGGACCGGAGUGGACGCAUCACUGGUGUUCGGGUUGUCAUGCCAAUGGCAUUGCCCGGUAGCUAAAUGCGGAAGAGAUAAGUGCUGAAAGCAUCUAAGCACGAAACUUGCCCCGAGAUGAGUUCUCCCUGACCCUUUAAGGGUCCUGAAGGAACGUUGAAGACGACGACGUUGAUAGGCCGGGUGUGUAAGCGCAGCGAUGCGUUGAGCUAACCGGUACUAAUGAACCGUGAGGCUUAACCUU